rnacentral:rRNA from 1 species
GGCGGACGGGUGAGUAAUGUCUGGGAAACUGCCUGAUGGAGGGGGAUAACUACUGGAAACGGUAGCUAAUACCGCAUAACGUCGCAAGACCAAAGAGGGGGACCUUCGGGCCUCUUGCCAUCGGAUGUGCCCAGAUGGGAUUAGCUUGUUGGUGGGGUAACGGCUCACCUAGGCGACGAUCCCUAGCUGGUCUGAGAGGAUGACCAGCCACACUGGAACUGAGACACGGUCCAGACUCCUACGGGAGGCAGCAGUGGGGAAUAUUGCACAAUGGGCGCAAGCCUGAUGCAGCCAUGCCGCGUGUAUGAAGAAGGCCUUCGGGUUGUAAAGUACUUUCAGCGGGGAGGAAGGGAGUAAAGUUAAUACCUUUGCUCAUUGACGUUACCCGCAGAAGAAGCACCGGCUAACUCCGUGCCAGCAGCCGCGGUAAUACGGAGGGUGCAAGCGUUAAUCGGAAUUACUGGGCGUAAAGCGCACGCAGGCGGUUUGUUAAGUCAGAUGUGAAAUCCCCGGGCUCAACCUGGGAACUGCAUCUGAUACUGGCAAGCUUGAGUCUCGUAGAGGGGGGUAGAAUUCCAGGUGUAGCGGUGAAAUGCGUAGAGAUCUGGAGGAAUACCGGUGGCGAAGGCGGCCCCCUGGACGAAGACUGACGCUCAGGUGCGAAAGCGUGGGGAGCAAACAGGAU